rnacentral:misc_RNA from 1 species
GAGCAACAUAAGGAGCAUGUCUGUAAGUAGGCGAAAGCUCGAAGGAGAAGUGUUGCAAGAUCAUAGCUAGUGCUAGUUUAGCUUCUAACAUAGCGAAGUUCUGUCCAAUGCAUAUUCGAGGUCCCCAACCAAAAGAAAAGAAGGGUUUUGUAAACCCAUCAGAAAAUCUUUCAGGGUUGAACUCCAUUGCAUUUUCUCCCCAUAGUUCAGGAUCCCUCUGGACAAGGUACAAUGGGAUCGUCAAGUUCACUCCUGCUGGAAGAGAGUAUUCU